rnacentral:misc_RNA from 1 species
GAUGAAGAACGUAGUGAAAUGCGAUAAGUAAUGUGAAUUGCAGAAUUCAGUGAAUCAUCGAAUCUUUGAACGCACAUUGCGCCCCUUGGUAUUCCGAGGGGCAUGCCUGUUCGAGCGUCAUUAUAACCCCUCAAGCUCAGCUUGGUGUUGGGGCCUGCUGCACUGGCAGCCCUUAAAAUCAGUGGCGGCGCCAUCUGGCUCUAAGCGUAGUAAUUCUUCUCGCUAUGGAGUCCUGGUGGAUGCUUGCCAUCAACCCCCAAUUUUUCUAUGGUUGACCUCGGAUCAGGUAGGGAUACCCGCUGAACUUAAGCAUAUCAAUAAGCGAGGA